CCGAGGUGGGCGGAUCACGAGGUCAGGAGAUUGAGACCAUCCUGGCUAACACGGUGAAACCCCGUCUCUACUAAAAAUACAAAAAAAUUAGCCGGGCAUGGUGGCGGGCGCCUGUAGUCCCCGCAACUUGGGAGGCUGAGGCAGGAGAAUGGUGCGAACCCGGGAGGCAGAUCUUGCAGAGAGACGAGAUCGUGCCACUGCACUCCAGCCUGGGCGACAGAGCAAGACUCCGUCUCAAAAUAAACAACAAACAAACAAAUAUGGAACAUUCUGAUAUGAAUAAGACACUUGCUCACUUCUCAAUUCCUUGGUGUCCAGGCUCCCGCACAAAUGAACCAUGUUCUUCGCCUAAGUCAUUUAUGGAACAUCUGCUUUCGGUUUAGCAUCAGUUUCUGUGUGAGGGUUGGAGGCUGACUUUGGUGGUGAUCUUGCUCCAAAUGAUAGAACUACAUCCUGUCAUGAAGAGAAGUUUGUCUUCUCGAUAAAGCCAAGUAGCUAACAGAGAUGGUCACCCCAAUUACCAGACCUUGCAUUCUGAUGAACCAACUGACACCAACCAGACUUGUGUCCCAUACCAAGGAACUCACUCAACUGGUCCUGUGAACCCCACCCAGAAACUGAUUCAGCACACAAAGACAGGUGGAGUCUCACUCUGUUGCCCAGGCUGGAGUGCAGUGGUGCAAUCUCAGCUCACCACAACCUCUCCCUCAUUGGUUCUAGCGGUCCUCCUGCCUCCACCUCCCAAGUAGCUGGGAUUACAAGCAUGUGCCACCACUCCUGGCUACUUUUUGUAUUUUUAGUAGAGACGGGGUUUCACCUUGUUGGCCAGGCUAGUUUUGAACUUCUGACCUCAAGUUAUCUACCGCCUCAGCCUCCCAAAGUGCUGGGAAUACCGGUGUAAGCCACCAUGCCCAG